UCACGUUGAUCCUGCGGGAGAUUGCUGCUAUUAGGGUUCGACUAAGCCAUGCAAGUUUGCUCUCUUCGGAGGGCGGCACAAUGCUCAGUAACACGUCGAUAAUCUACCUUUAAGUCUGGGAUAACCUUGGGAAACUGAGACUAAUACCGGAUAUGGAAAGAUAAUUGGAACAUUGCUUUCUUGAAAGGCAACGCUUAAAGAUGAGUCGGCGGCCGAUUAGGCUGUUGGUGAGGUAAUGGCUCACCAAACCGAAGAUCGGUAGGGGCCUUGAGAGAGGUAGCCCCGAGAAGGGCACUGAAAUACUGGUCCUAGUCUUACGAGGUGCAGCAGGCGCGAAACCUUUACAAUGCACGCAAGUGUGAUAAGGGAACCCUAAGUGCUUUACUUAUGUAAGGCUUUUGCCAUAUGUAAAAAGUAUGGCGAAUAAGUGGUGGGCAAGACUGGUGCCAGCCGCCGCGGUAACACCAGCGCCACAAGUGGUAAUCACGAUUAUUGGGCCUAAAGCGUCCGUAGCUGGUCUGAAAAAUCUUUUGUGAAAUUGUUAGGCUUAACCUACCAACGUGCAGAAGACACUCUUAGACUUGGAACCGGAGAGGGGUUAGAGGUAUUAUUGGGGUAGCGGUAAAAUGUUAUAAUCCUUAUAAGACCACCGAUGGCGAAGGCAUCUAACCAGAACGGGUUCGACAGUGAGGGACGAAAGCCAGGGGAGCAAACCGGAUUAGAUACCCGAGUAGUCCUGGCUGUAAACUCUGCGAGCUAGGUGUUGCACAUUCUCCGAGAAUGUGCAGUGUCGAAAUGAAGAUGUUAAGCUCGCCGCCUGGGAAGUAUGGUCGCAAGGCUGAAACUUUAAGGAAUUGGCGGGGGAGCACUACAAGGGGUGCGGCGUGCGGUUUAAUCUAACUCAACGCAGAGAAUCUCACCAGAGGCGACGGCAGGAUGAAAGUCGGGUUGAAGACUCUACUUGACGAGCCGAGAGGUAGUGCAUGGCCGCCGUCAGCUCGUGCCGUAAGGUGUCCUGUUAAGUCAGGCAACGAGCGAGACCUGUACCUACAAUUGCUAGCAACUCAUUCUGAGGAUUGAGCACAUUGUGGGGACUGCCCUGGAAACAGGGAGGAAGGUGCAGGCCACGGUAGGUCUGUAUGCUCCGAAUCUUCUGGGCAACACGCGCGCAACAAUGGUAAGGACAAUGGGAUACAACUCCGAAAGGAGAAGUUAAACCUCUAAACCUUAUCCUAGUUCAGAUUGAGGGCUGUAACCUGCCCUCAUGACGUUGGAAUCCCUAGUAAUCGUUCCUCAUCAUAGAACGGUGAAUAUGUCCCUGCUCCUUGCACACACCGCCCGUCAAACCAACCGAGCAGGGUUUAGGUGAGUAUAUACUUUCUUGGUAUAUCCGAACCUAAGCUCAGUGAGGUGGGUUAAGUCGUCACAAGGUA
rnacentral:rRNA from 1 species